rnacentral:rRNA from 1 species
CCCUUUCCCCCCCGGGGGGGGGGGACAGUAGGGAAUCUUCCACAAUGGGCGAAAGCCUGAUGGAGCAACGCCGCGUGUGUGAUGAAGGCUUUCGGGUCGUAAAGCACUGUUGUAUGGGAAGAACAGCUAGAAUAGGAAAUGAUUUUAGUUUGACGGUACCAUACCAGAAAGGGACGGCUAAAUACGUGCCAGCAGCCGCGGUAAUACGUAUGUCCCGAGCGUUAUCCGGAUUUAUUGGGCGUAAAGCGAGCGCAGACGGUUUAUUAAGUCUGAUGUGAAAGCCCGGAGCUCAACUCCGGAAUGGCAUUGGAAACUGGUUAACUUGAGUGCAGUAGAGGUAAGUGGAACUCCAUGUGUAGCGGUGGAAUGCGUAGAUAUAUGGAAGAACACCAGUGGCGAAGGCGGCUUACUGGACUGCAACUGACGUUGAGGCUCGAAAGUGUGGGUAGCAAACAGGAUUAGAUACCCUGGUAGUCCACACCGUAAACGAUGAACACUAGGUGUUAGGAGGUUUCCGCCUCUUAGUGCCGAAGCUAACGCAUUAAGUGUCCGCCCUGGGAGACGACC